GUUUUAAAGUUAGAGCUCAUUUGGUAGAGUGUGAGGCUCUUAAUCUCAGGAUCAUAGGUUCAACCCCCACAUGGUAAAAUG